AACUGUAGCAGUAACAUUCCAGCAGACAACUUGAUUAUACUAUUUCUGGAUCACUAUUCCUUGUUUGACAGCUUUACAACAAUUAUCAUUGAAAUAUUCCACAGAUAGUGACAUACUGAAUUAUGAAUGUUUCCUGUCCAUUUUUUAAACAAUUUGCGGACAUAAUUUGUGACAUUUAUUACACUGAAAUAUCAUAUUGAAACUCUGAGUAUUGAAAACUUUCAACUAUGAAACACAAGGUAUACGUUUGACAGAAAUUUACUUAAUAAAUUGUGUAACCGUCAUCUGAAACAUAUUGAAAGCCUAAUAGAGCUCAGAAAAAGAAAAACCACUUGUGAAGUUCUAGAUGUGAUCAAUGUACAUAACUUUUGAGAAACUGUCAAGGAGCAAGAGAACAGCCAUAAGGCAUAACAGCCUCGAUAACAUCAGACCGGAAACUUAACAUCGACCAGGUUCUUCUUGUCCACAAACAUGCUGGAUAUGUUUUGCCAGUUGGAACACCUAUUUCCAGAAAUUGUUGACAAAAACUUUUGUCUCAACAGCACAUUGAACAUGAAAAAGAUUUUACAGAUGAAAGACAGAUAGAAAAUGAAUGACUAUUCCAAUGAGCAAAGUGACAAAUCCACGCCAAACUUUCACCAUGAACCUUAAGAUUGCAACAAGAUCAGAGAAUUUAGCAUUCAGUGAUAUGAAAUAACAACCGAUAAAACAUCAAGAAAUUUUUCAACAGGAAUGCAUUGAACUGGAUAUUUCUGGAGAUGACAUUGCUGUCAUCAGUAAUUCAGAAAACAGUUGUGGAAUUUAUAUUGCAUAGUUUCUGGAUGUAACAGAAGCUUUCUAAAGCAUACAUCUUUAAACGACCACAUCAUCAUUGGGAA